rnacentral:rRNA from 1 species
AUACGUAGGUGACAAGCGUUAUCCGGAUUUAUUGGGUUUAAAGGGAGCGUAGGUGGAUUGUUAAGUCAGUUGUGAAAGUUUGGGGCUCAACCUUAAAAUUGCAGUUGAUACUGGUUUCCUUGAGUACGGUACAGGUGGGCGGAAUUCGUGGUGUAGCGGUGAAAUGCUUAGAUAUCACGAAGAACUCCGAUCGCGAAGGCAGCUCACCGGGCCGGAACUGACACUGAUGCUCGAAAGUGCGGGUAUCAAACAGGAUUAGAUACCCUGGUAGUCCGCACAGUAAACGAUGAAUACUCGCUGUUUGCGAUACACUGUAAGCGGCCAAGCGAAAGCGUUAAGUAUUCCACCUGGGGAGUACGCCGGCAACGGUGAAACUUAAAGGAAUUGACGGGG